AUUGAACGCUGGCGGCAGGCCUAACACAUGCAAGUCGAGCGGAUGAAGGGAGCUUGCUCCUGGAUUCAGCGGCGGACGGGUGAGUAAUGCCUAGGAAUCUGCCUGGUAGUGGGGGGUAACGUCCGGAAACGGGCGCUAAUACCGCAUACGUCCUGAGGGAGAAAGUGGGGGAUCUUCGGACCUCACGCUAUCAGAUGAGCCUAGGUCGGAUUAGCUAGUUGGUGGGGUAAAGGCCUACCAAGGCGACGAUCCGUAACUGGUCUGAGAGGAUGAUCAGUCACACUGGAACUGAGACACGGUCCAGACUCCUACGGGAGGCAGCAGUGGGGAAUAUUGGACAAUGGGCGAAAGCCUGAUCCAGCCAUACCGCGUGUGUGAAGAAGGUCUUCGGAUUGUAAAGCACUUUAAGUUGGGAGGAAGGGCAGUAAGUUAAUACCUUGCUGUUUUGACGUUACCAACAGAAUAAGCACCGGCUAACUUCGUG
rnacentral:rRNA from 1 species